UACAGAGGUCCCUAGCGUUGUUCGGAUUUACUGGGCGUAAAGGGCACGUAGGUGGCUGGGCGUGUCGCGUGUGAAAUCUCCGGGCUCAACCCGGAAAGUGCGCGCGAAACUACCUGGCUCGAGUCCGGGAGAGGGAAUCGGAAUAUAGGGUGUAGCGGUGAAAUGCGUUGAUAUCCUAUAGAACACCGGAGGCGAAGGCGGAUUCCUGGAACGGUACUGACACUAAGGUGCGAAAGUCGGGGGAGCAAAC
rnacentral:rRNA from 1 species